rnacentral:rRNA from 1 species
UACAGAGGUCUCAAGCGUUGUUCGGAUUCAUUGGGCGUAAAGGGUGCGUAGGCGGCGCGGUAAGUCGGGUGUGAAAAUCUCACAGCUUAACUGUGAAACUGCAUUGGAUACUAUUCGGCUUGAGAGUUGGAGGGGGGACUGGAAUUCUCGGUGUAGCAGUGAAAAUGCGUAGAUAUCGAGAGGAACACCAGUGGCGAAGGCGAGUCCCUGGACAACUUCUGACGCUGAGGCACGAAAGCUAGGGGAGCAAACAGG